UAAUGAUGACUCCAAUGAAGAUACUGUAUCUGGUCAGGCUAGCAAUGCAACAAUUGUUUUUUUUUUAUACCAUUUGCAUGUCACAAUACAUUCAAGUGAAAAUUAGCAAUAAUUCAUAAAUUUCGAAUGGUAAUACUCAGAUAACAGCUCAAGUCAUUAUGCCCAAAAUCUCUUGUUUCAUUGUCUGCUUUUCCUAAUUUUAUUUUUCAGUAAAUAAUUUUUUAGGAACCACGCUCAAUUUGAAUUAAAAAUCAGUGUAUUGUAGAAUUAUCAUGUGAAUCUUGUGUUCAAUAAGAGAUUCCAGAGUGGAACGUUAUUUCAAAUUUUCUAUAUUUUUAAUUACAGUUUUAUUUUCAGAAUAUUCUGAUGCUGGAUUGGAUCAUAAUGAAGAAAACAGUACAUAUGAAAACGAUGAAGAAAUUGCACAAAGCAAAAAUAAUAAUGAUGACUCCAAUGAAGAUAAUGUAUCUGAAUAUUAUGAUGAAAAUGUGAAUAAGGCGAGAAGGAAUGACACUUCUCUGGAAAGUGCGAUAUAAAAUAAAUCCAAAAUACGAAAAAUAAAAGUAAGAGAUAUUUCUGCAUAAGUAUAUUGCAAGAAGUUGGUCACAAAGUUUGCCAGACAUAUCGAGACUGUUCAUAAAGAUUGCAUCGAAGUGAAGAAGUUGCUGCUUUUACCAAAAGGUUACAAAGAACGUCAGGAAGAAAUUUCUUCACUUAGGAAGAAAGGCAACUUUGAGUUCAAUACAAAAAACGCCUACAAUAAUGGCCAACUUCUUGUCACCAGAAGACCUCAAAUUAAAUUAAAAAAAAAUUUCAACGAUUAUCAGGUUUGUCUGCAUUGCAGGGGGUUUUAUUCUGAAACUGGCAUCAGAAGACUCAAAUGAAAAGAAGAUGCAGUUGUGCACAAAAAAGCAGAUACUGUUUUGAAAAACAUCAUCAUUCUUAAACUGAGGGAUGAUGAUGUAUCGUGAAUAAUAAGGUAUGAUGAAUUGGCCAUAAUUUAAUGUAAUUCUUUAUGCAGAAAAUACCGAAAACUUCAUCUAAAUUACUUCAUACGAUCAAAAUUGAGACUGAUCGGUCGCCUUAUGACUGAGGUAAAAAAAAUUAUUAGAGCCAUCACGGAUUUUGCAUCCAUUUAUGAACCAUGCUAUUAUGAUGAUGUAGUGUUAAAGGUGUGAAUAUUGCAAAGAAGAAGAAUGAGGCUGGAAAAAACAGGGAUACUGUUAUAUGUGGCAUGAAGCAAUCGCAUCUCGAGGUACAUGUGAAAUUAGUAGCUGCGUUUUGGAAUAUAUCAAACAAAAAGCACUAGAGGGUUGCAAGGACAAUUCGGACAAUUGUGCGGGCCAAAACAAAAAUAAAUUUGUUCAUGUUAUGCUCCUAUAUGCUGUUGUUAAGUAUAAAAUGAAGAUUACUUUACAUUUCAUGGAGGUAGGACAUACCCAAAACGAAGGCGACUCGAUGCACAGUGCAAUUGAAACAUGUGCUAGAAGAAUACCUAUCUAUAACCCUGGGCAAUGGUACACGAUUGCACGGAUGGCAUGCAUAAAAAAGCCUAAUAUCGUAAAAGAAAUGAAUCAAGUCGACUUUUUCGAUUUGAAAGAUCCAUUGCUUAAAACUACAAUGAAAAUAUAUAAAGAUGAUUGUGGGAAAAUAUAUAAAGAUGAUUGUGGAAAUGUUGUAAAAUGGUCUGGGGUCAGUUGCGUUCAAGUUGAUUACCCAAAACCAAAUAUUUUUAAACUCGAAUACAGGCUUCAAGAGAAAUUUUUUGAAACUAACGUAACAGAUCGCUCAAGGAAGAAGCUAAUAAGCUUUUUACACAUGAAGAACAAUAAUCAUAAAAAAGAAAAAGAGAAGUAUAAACCUUUGGCGGCGAUUUUCUAGACUUCCCGCGAAAUUGAAAGUGGUACGAGUCAACACUGAAUUCCGAAACAAACAUUGAAUUAACCUUUACUUACGAAUGUCCUUCGUUUCCAGGAUCCUUGGGAUUAAUUUUGCAAAUAUAACAAUAUCUCACCAUUUUAAAAACUUUUCUUUAAUAAAUAUCAGAAUAUUUAGUCUGCGAAAUACUGCCAAUAGAAGUUAAUUCGAAAAUAAUUUCAGCUGUCGACAAAUUAAACAGGUAAACAUUUCGAGCGCACGGAGUGCAAAUUGUGACGCAUUUCAAAUGUUUUUUUUUUCUUCUGAAAUUUCAAGACAAAAUAUUGACCUUGUCGAUUACAGCAAAUUUUUAAUUCAUUAAACUUGGAAUAUUAAGGCUUUCCUUACACGUUUCAAUCUCUGUAUUAGUGAUUUUCCAGCUCAAUUUCUCGAUACUCAGUUUUUUCUGUUUCCGAAACAUACGCGAUAUGCCUGAACGUCGCAUAGAUUUGGCGACAAAGAAAAUAAACAAACUUGAUGUUUUUCCCCAGUAAAUUGUGAACAUACUUGGUCUAUCUUCCUUUAUAAGUAUAAUAUAUAGGUAUGAAUCAGUUCUUUGAAAAAAAAUUAUAUUUAUUAUCUUCCACCAUGAAUUGAAAAAAAAUGGUAUCAUCCCAAUUAAUCAAAGCUUUAAAAAAAUUAUUUUGCAGCUUCUCAAAAACUCCACAUUGAGGGGGAUCAACUGGCUCUUGAAUCUGAU